AAAGAUAUAGCAUAUUCUUCUGAAUAUACUUUAUUAACCCCAUUCCGAGUACCUUACCCCGUUGCUUCCGCGAGGCUGUCCUCACGGCCCUCUGAAGAUUUAUCUUUGGGGAGUCCUGCGGAAGGUAUACAAUAAACUCUUGCAUUACCAUGUUCAUCUGUCUGAAUCUGUUUAAAACAAAUAUUA
rnacentral:misc_RNA from 1 species